rnacentral:ncRNA from 1 species
UAUGAAACGUUGAUGAGAUAAGUAAAGUUCAGCGGCAAGUAAAGAGAGCCAACGUUUGGUGAAAGUUGGUCUUGUCAAGGACUUGAAAAUGGUCUUGGAGUUGUGUAAUCGGGUGAGUUUUGACAUGAGCCUGAUUCGGGUGCGCCCGUUAUCGCGUUAGGGUAUCUCACUUUUGACGUACCUAUCAAGUAGUUAGUAGUGAUGCUAACUAGAACCUGGGUGGUAACACGAUUCCGUCGUCCCGUAG